rnacentral:rRNA from 1 species
CCUACGGGAGGCAGCAGUGGGGAAUAUUGCACAAUGGGGGAAACCCUGAUGCAGCGACGCCGCGUGAGUGAAGAAGUAUUUCGGUAUGUAAAGCUCUAUCAGCAGGGAAGAAAAAAGACGGUACCUGACUAAGAAGCCCCGGCUAACCACGUACCAGCAGCCGCGGUAAUACGGAGGGGGCAAGCGUUAACCGGAUUUACUGGGUUUAACGGGGUCGUAGAGGGAGAAGGAAGUCUAAAGUGAAAGCCCGUGGCUUAACCACGGGACUGCUUUUGAAACUGUUUGACUAGAGUGCUGGAGAGGUAAGUGGAAUUCCUAGUGUAGCGGUGAAAUGCGUAGAUAUUAGGAGGAACACCGGUGGCGAAGGCAGCUUAAUGGACAGUAACUGACGUUGAGGCUCGAAAGCGUGGGGAGCAAACAGGAUUAGAUACCCCAGUAGUC